UUAUGAAUUUAUUUAAGUUUUUUGUUAAAUUUCUUUUCUGUUUUUAUUUUUGUUUUUACUUUUAUUUAAAUUUAAUUAAUUUUUUUAUUGAAUUCCUUCUUUCCAUUAUAAUUAUUUAUUAUCUUGUUAAAUUAGUAAUUCUACUAAUAAUUUUUUUUUUUUCCAAUAGGUAUAUCUUUACAGGAUUCCAAUUCCACAAGCAACAAAAAUUAAUUUAUGUAUUAUAUUAUAUUUCAAUUUUUCGCGCGAUUUUUGAAUGAAAAAAAUAAGCAUUAAGAGCCAGCCAAUCAGAACAUCCCUUAAUUCGAAACGCGGGACGAAUAGGUGCGCAUCGCAGUGCGCAUCGGAGUGCGCAACGCAGUGCGCAUCACACUGCGCAUGUCGUCAGUCUACAGUUGAAAAUUGUGCGGAGUGGAUGUGUCGUCGCGAAUUCGGAUUACGCAAUUUAAUUGAUAGCGUAUGGUAAUAUUCUCGAAGGCGGGAAAAAAUCCAAUAUGGACGCCAUGGACGUGUUGGUGACUUUCUUUCGUGGUAAAAAUUUUAUAUUUCGUAUGUAUAAAUUUUUAUUCUGUUUUCUUGAAUUAUUUAAUUUAGAUUGUUGUUAAGCAAUUCAUAAUAAAAUUACGUUCUAGUUAAAGAAAAAUGAAAAAAUUAAAAAUUUAUGAGAAAUUUUAAUGAUUUAUCAUUGGAAAUUAAAUUUUAAAAUCUGAUAAUGAAUAUUUUAUUAAAUUUCAGAUAUUAAUAAAUAAUUGGUAACAUUUUUAUACGUAAUUCAUGAUCAGUUAAAAUGGAAAGGCAAUAUUUCCAGAACAAAUGCUCGAUAAGAAGAAGAAAAAUAUCAAAAAGAUAUUUCUUUUUCUUCUAUUCCCCAUCCCUCUACUAAUUUAAUGUUAAUUUCAGAAAAUAUUUGUGACCGCGCGCAAUGCGGUUAAUAGAAUCAGUGUUUGCUUCGUCAUAGUAUUUUGAAUAUUUUUUAGAGCACAACAGCUCUUAUUAAAUUUAAUUAGAAUAAUCAAACGCGAAGAUAGAAUCAGUGUUUGUUCGCCGAUUAUAAUAUAUACGGACGCGUUAUUAGAGUUUCUUAUUUUUUAUUUUUUUUUUUAUUCUCAAUAUUCGUUUUCGGCACAGGGUAGAGUCAGUGCUUCUCUCAAGAGAAUAAGGCGAUCAUCCACCACGCGAAGAGAUGCUGAUGAUCUUUAUGAAGAUUUUUGGAUUUUAAUCUUAAAAAAUAUUUGUGACCACGUGCAAUGUGGUUAGUAGAAUCAGUGUUUGCUUCGUUAUAGUAUUUUGAAUAUUUUUUUAGAGCACAACAGCUCUUAAAUUAAAUUUUAAUUAGAAUGAUCAAACGCGAAGAUAGAAUCAGUGUUUGUUCGCCGAUUAUAAUUUAUACGGACGCGUUGUUAACUUCUUAUUUUUAUUUUUUUUUAUUUUAAAUAUUCGUUUUCGGCACAGGGUAGAGUCAGUGCUUCUCUCAAGAGAAUAAGGCGAUCAUCCAUCACGCGAAGAGAUUUCUUCUACCUGAUGACUUCCUGAUGUACCUGAUGGGCUAUGGUAACAGUGAAGGCGUUCGUCGCAUCAUAUGGUGAGUCGCAUGGUUUUUGGUUCCUCCGGUCACUCAACCAUGUCGUAGGAUGAAAGAUCCGAAUCGACACGAGUGACUGGUUGUAUACGUAGAAUUUUGCACGAGCACAAUGACCGCGGAUAUUUAUUUAUAAUAAUUAUCCGCGAGUAGUAACGAUUAUUUCUUUUGUGUUUUAUUUAUUAGUUCAGGCUA